GAUGGUUCAUUCAAAUUUCUGCCCUAUCAACUUUCGAUGGUAGAGUAGUGGUCUACCAUGGUGGUCAACGGGUAACGGGAAUUAGGGUUCUAUUCCGGAGAGGGAGCCUGAGAAACGGCUACCACAUCCAAGGAAGGCAGCAGGCGCGCAAAUUACCCAAUCCCGACACGGGGAGGUAGUGACAAUAAAUACUGAUACAGGGCUCUUUUGGGUCUGUGUAAUUGGAAUGAGUACAAUUUAAAUCCCUUAACGAGGAACAAUUGGAGGGCAAGUCCUGGUGCCAGCAGCCGCGGUAAUUCCAGCUCCAAUAGCGUAUAUUAAAGUUGUUGCAGUUAAAAAGCUCGUAGUUGAACCUUGGGCCCUGGCUGGCCGGUCCGCCUCACCGGUGCACUGGUCCGGCCGGCCUUUCCUUCUGGGGAGCCGCAUGCCCUUCACUGGGUGUGUCGGGGAACCAGGACUUUUACUUUGAAAAAAUUAGAGUGUUCAAAGCAGGCCUAUGCUCGAAUACAUUAGCAUGGAAUAAUAGA
rnacentral:rRNA from 1 species